UAGGGAAUCUUCGGCAAUGGGGGGAACCCUGACCGAGCAACGCCACGUGAGUGAAGAAGGUUUUCGGAUCGUAAAGCUCUGUUGUUAAGGAAGAACGAGUGUGAGAAUGGAAAGUUCAUGCUGUGACGGUACUUAACCAGAAAGGGACGGCUAACUACGUGCCAGCAGCCGCGGUAAUACGUAGGUCCCGAGCGUUGUCCGGAUUUAUUGGGCGUAAUGCGAGCGCAGGCGGUUAGAAAAGUCUGAAGUGAAAGGCAGUGGCUCAACCAUUGUAGGCUUUGGAAACUGUUUGAGUUGAGUGCAGAAGGGGAGAGUGGAAUUCCAUGUGUAGCGGUGAAAUGCGUAGAUAUAUGGAGGAACACCGGUGGCGAAAGCGGCUCUCUGGUCUGUAACUGACGCUGAGGCUCGAAAGCGUGGGGAGCGAACAGG
rnacentral:rRNA from 1 species